rnacentral:rRNA from 1 species
UACGGGGGGGGCAAGCGUUGUUCGGAAUUACUGGGCGUAAAGGGCGUGAAGGCGGCCAACUAAGUCGGAGGGGAAAUCCCCAGGCUCAACCUGGGAACUGCAUCCGAUACUGGAUGGCUUGAAUUCGGGAGAGGGAUGCAGAAUUCCAGGUGUAGCGGUGAAAUGCGUAGAUAUCUGGAGGAACACCGGUGGCGAAGGCGGCAUCCUGGACCGGUAUUGACGCUGAGGCGCGAAAGCCAGGGGAGCAAACGGG